GGAAAGACCAUUUAGAAUAACUCAUUGCUUGCUUCAAAGGAUGUGGGAGAGAGAAAACUGGAUAUUCUUUCCUGUAACAGCUGAAGUGGUGAUACUUAUCAUGAGGGAAACAGCAAAGGCUGCUGGUGGUGUUGGCCCUGUGGAUGUGGGACUCCAUGGCCACAUGUGGGUCCUCUUGCAGGGUCCACACUGGGGAUCCAAGCCACAUACAGGGAUGUUGUCUUCUCCAAAUCCUUGCUGGGUGAGGGAAGAUAAACCAGCUGCUUCCCUAAAGGCACAGAAGGGUGUGGAAGGUGCCUGCGGAAGACUCCAGGUCACAGCAGAUGUUGCUCAGGAAUGGGCAGAAUGGAUUCUCCUCAUCUGAGAGCCCGCAAAACCAGAUUGCAGCUGCCAUGAUGAAUCAAGGAAGAGGAAUUUCUUUAAUAACUGAAGCAAAACUCUUCUACUGCUUUAUGAAGAAUGUUCAGUGCUCUCACUGAUGGGAUCCCGAUAGCUCUGGAGGGAAGGAUGUUUGCACUUAGACUUGCUUCUUAACUACUGUCCUUUGAAAUAGCAGUGAAAUCUUGCAGUUUUUAUUUCGUGUCUUCUGUCAUGGCUUUUUCUCUCAAACCAUCCCCAUGAAUUACAUGAGAUUUACUGCAUCACUACUCAUAGAGCUUGACAGAAGUACAUGUUAUUGAUGUUCCAUGCUGCCUCACUGGAUAAGGGCAAGUUAUCCAGCCCCAAGGCCAUGCUUUGAGGUGCAGACAGAACUAUAGCAGCUGCCAAGCAUGGUAAAAGGAGGACACCAUCUGCUGCAAUGACUUAACAGUCAUGGAGUUCCCUUCUCUUAUCGUUAGUAGACAGUUGUGACGUUCAAACCAACCUUUGAAUAUUUUGCAGGCUUGUAGAGUGAAAAGCCUCUUGCAGCAGACCUUUUAUUCUUGAGGCAAAGGGACAGACUUUGUCCGUAGCUGCUUUCACAAGUCCUGAUCAUCUUGAACAAG
rnacentral:lncRNA from 1 species